rnacentral:rRNA from 1 species
ACUCAAAGGAAUAGACGGGUCCCCGCACAAGCAGCGGAGCGUGUGGUUUAAUUCGUUGCUACACGAAGAACCUUACCUGGGUUUGACAUAAAGGUGGUAGGGAGCCGAAAGGUGACCGACCCUUCGGGGAGCCUUUACAGGUGUUGCAUGGCUGUCGUCAGCUCGUGUCGUGAGAUGUUCGGUUAAGUCCGCUAACGAGCGCAACCCUCGCUGUGUGUUACAAGUGUCACACAGGACUGCCGGUAUUAAGCCGGAGGAAGGUGAGGAUGAUGUCAAGUCAGCAUGACCUUUAUAUCCAGGGCUACACACACGCUACAAUGGUCUGUACAAUAGGUUGCCAAGCCGCGAGGCGGAGCCAAUCCUAAAAAGCAGGCCUCAGUUCAGAUUGCAGUCUGCAACUCGACUGCAUGAAGUUGGAGUUGCUAGUAACCGCAGGUCAGCUAUACUGCGGUGAAUACGUUCCCGGGGAUUGUACACACCGCCCGU